rnacentral:lncRNA from 1 species
CAAAGGGCCAAGACCCCAAGACUCAAAUAAACUACCACUCCAUCAAUCUACUGGAAGGAAAUAUAAAUAUAAACAAGGCAAUUAACUCUUAAUACAUACAUACAGCAAACUGGCCAAACAGAACAUACAGACAUACAGUGCUAACAUGGCUAAAAAACUCCGGGAUCCUCAGAAGAAUGUAUGCUCGUAAGAAGCUCAAAUGUAUGGCCUUGUCUGUGAUGCUGAUUAACAAGAUCAGGUGCUUCCCAACACCUUCAUUAUAACAGUCUUUGCAUUUGUAUCGGUUCCUGGCUAACUAUUAGAUCCCUCAGCAAAGAUUCAUUUUGGUGGUAAGAGCGCGCGCAGCAGGAAUCAAAUUAAACCUGUAUUACACCAGAAAAUGGAAAAAAAAACUACUACAUUUUAGUAAAUGAUCUAUUAAUUAAUUUCAAGUCAACAAAAAUUAAACACAUGCUUCCACUACCAGUCUACCAUAGUAGUGCAUACAUAAAAGUAAUACAGAGAAAUUUAUACCUCAAUGAUGGAUAGAUGGUCUUAGGCUGCAUUGGUUGAUUCUUAAAGGUGAGCUGAGCUGCCUCAGAUACCUUUUGUAAUAAAUAAAUAUUGAGAGAGAGGUUGUUGUGGUCUUCAAUUUGGUAGAGGUGGUGAUGGUGUGGUUGUGGUCUUCAAAAGACCAACUAAGAGC